AGAACAAAAUAAGUUCUUGUUCAUUUUUUAACCUUAUUCUCUUCCCGUAAUCUUCUAUCUCUAUCGUUUCUGAUAUAUAUUCUUGUAAAUAUUGUUCAACUUAUCACGUAGAAUACCCAAGGAAUGUUGUAACCAAUUGUAACCUCUUAGGCUAUUUAAAUACCUCGUCAAUGAAUGAAUCCUCAUCGAAGAAUUACCAAAGUUAUUAUGGCAUCAGAGGUAGAUCACUCUUGAGUUUUUUUCCUCCACUCCUC
rnacentral:lncRNA from 1 species